GCCUGGGUGGCUCAGUCAGUUGAGCAUCUGACUUCAGCUCAGGUCACAAUCUCGUGGUCCACGGGUUCGAGCCCCGCGUCGGGCU
rfam:Felis catus isolate Cinnamon breed Abyssinian chromosome B4, whole genome shotgun sequence.